rnacentral:misc_RNA from 1 species
AACGCACGAGACCUGCGGACCUGCGGAGGGAUCAUUAAUGAGAAACUGCCCCUCGCGGGUGGAUCUCCCACCCUUUGUAAACUUACCUUUGUUGCUUUGGCAGGCCCGUCUCCGGACCGCCGGCUUCGGCUGGCCAGUGCCUGCCAGAGGAUUCUAAAACUCUGUCUGUCAGUGUUGUCUGAGUCUAUAUACAAUCGUUAAAACUUUUAACAACGGAUCUCUAGAUCGGAAGAGCACACG